UAGGGAAUCUUCCACAAUGGACGCAAGUCUGAUGGAGCAACGCCGCGUGAGUGAAGAAGGCUUUCGGGUCGUAAAACUCUGUUAUUGAAGAAGAACGUGUGUGACAGUAACUGGUCAUGCAGUGACGGUAUUCAAUCAGAAAGUCACGGCUAACUACGUGCCAGCAGCCGCGGUAAUACGUAGGUGGCAAGCGUUGUCCGGAUUUAUUGGGCGUAAAGCGAGUGCAGGCGGCCUUUUAAGUCUGAUGUGAAAGCCUUCGGCUUAACCGAAGAAGGGCAUCGGAAACUGGGAGACUUGAGUGCAGAAG
rnacentral:rRNA from 1 species